GCAGCGGCUGCCGCGGCGUGCCAUAGCUAGGCGGGAAGGAGCUGCGGCAGGGUGGGGUGGACGGGGGAGAGCCGCAUUUGCGGCAAGGAAGGGGCAUUGGGGUUUCAGGCGCGGCGACGCCGUGGUGGAGAUAGUGAUUCCCUUGGCAGUGGAGAAUUGAGAUACCUGGGCAGCGGGUACUACAGUGGCGGUUCUGGUGCAGCGAGUACCGGCACUAGCAUCCCUGCAGUCGACGGCGGCUAUGGCAACUAUUAUUAUCCGCCUCCAUCCCAACCGUGGAGAUCCAGUCCCCCUCCAUCCCAGGGGUGGGGUGAUCCUGCCCACGCAUCCCUGUCUUGGCAACAUACACCCCAGUUUCGGGGUCAGUCAGAGGAAUGUGGGUCAUCCCCAAUCGCCGUAUGGAUCAUGGAUAGAUCAUGUAUGCCUAUGGCAUCAUAUUGUGCGAAAACAACAAAUUUUCAUACUGAGAUUUAAUUUAUGAUUGAGUGUUCACAAAUGUACAGAGAAGAUCAAUACUCAACAUACAAAAAAUUGAAA